ACUGUCAGACACCGCCCCUUUUAUGUAGCAAGGGUUGCAACCCUGAAUUUUUACGCUAAAUUUGAGCGAUCGAAUUACCUGAAAGUAACUCGAGCCCUGUGUGCAAUGAAGCCGUAAACAAUGCAAACUGGAAGUCAUGAUGAUGCUGCAACUUGUCAUAUUUAACCUGUCUAUUCAAUCAAAAGCUUGGGGUGACUCUAAAAGCGAUCGUAUCAUGUGAUUAUUGCCUAUUAUCGGCCGAUUAGUGUUGAGGGCGAAAAGUUUCAUCUGCGCUGUGGAAUAAAUUGUUUAAUGAUUUACUCCAAGGCUGCUACGAAGCAUGAAAUAACAGUUAGCUGAGUGCAGUAAGAGUUUUAAUAUGCGUGUGUUAUUAAAACAAUUAAGAGAGUUGGAAAAGAAUAAAUAGGGUUGAUUGCGAUGGUAUCGUCCGAUGAGUCAUGAUAAUGAAAAGUCUAAAAGCUAGGAAUAUAGCAGUCAGGUUAUUCGUAAACCAUAUUUAUUUGAUCAAUACUCGGGGCCUCCUGCAGAGCAGCGCCAGACUUGCGGUCUACCCUCGCCUAAUCAAUAUACAAAAACACUAUAUAAUUUAGUGUUUUACGGCGGACCGAUCUUAUAUACCCUACCUACCUGAGCCCAGCUCACCAUGAAUCUAUAACUAUGUACUAUAUUUAUUACGAAUUAUUUGUUUUAUUUCCACCACUAAUAAAUAUGUCUGCAUUAUAAA